rnacentral:rRNA from 1 species
GAUGAACGCUGGCGGCGUGCCUAAUACAUGCAAGUCGAGCGAACAGACGAGGAGCUUGCUCCUCUGACGUUAGCGGCGGACGGGUGAGUAACACGUGGAUAACCUACCUAUAAGACUGGGAUAACUUCGGGAAACCGGAGCUAAUACCGGAUAAUAUAUUGAACCGCAGGGUUCAAUAGUGAAAGACGGUUUUGCUGUCACUUAUAGAUGGAUCCGCGCCGGAUUAGCUAGUUGGUAAGGUAACGGCUUACGAAGGCAACGAUGCGUAGCCGAACUGAGAGGGUGAUCGGCCACACUGGAACUGAGACACGGUCCAGACUCCUACGGGAGGGAGCAGAAGGGAAUCUUACGCAAUGGGCGAAAGCCUGACGGAGCAACGCCGCGUGAGUGAUGUAGGUCUUCGGAUCGUAAAACUCUGUUAUUAGGGAAGAACAAAUGUGUAAGUAACUAUGCACGUCUUGACGGUACCUAAUCAGAAAGCCACGGCUAACUACGUG